GUUGAUUCCAUUCCAAUCGUUUUCCCCCCCAAAAAAAGAGGCACUUCUUCUCCCCAUUCUCAACGCCGGCACACCCCAUCUCUCCCGCCGCGGCGCGCUGAGAUGCCGAUCCUCUGCCAGAUUUUUCGCCUCCUCCGACCUGGCGUCGCCACCUUUCAUGGCCCAAUGCUCCGCCUCUCCUCUACCUCGCGACCUCUCCUCUCUUUCACGGCCUCUGCGCCGCCUUGCUGGUCGCCACCACCGCUUGCACCACGAGUUUUCCCUCUCAUGGCUCCCGAUCUACUUGUCCGUCGUAUUUCCCGAUUUCCUCCAGGAUCUCGGAGCAUGUCCAGCAACAGUGGACUUGAAGACAAGCGAUUGCUCAUCUCUUCUGCCAACUAUCAUUCUGUCAUCAGCCAAGGCACGAAAAAUGUAGAGACGAGUGGCACAACCUUGGAAGUUAUAGAUGAAAACGGAAGGAGUGCAACCAAGGAUACAAAGAGCGCAUUGAUAGCAAGCGGUGACAAAGUAUUCCCCAUGGAAUUGCUUCCAAAAAGCACACACCGUGAUGGUUCUAUAUACAGAAGCACUCAUGCGUGGAAAAAGAACUAUGCUGUUGAUGACCGUAGUGAGAGGUUCUCUCAUCAACAUGGCUGGCCCUAAGCGAGGCAUAGAUAUGUAUUGCGCUGUUCUAGUGGAAUUUGACAUUAGGAUCAAGGCAGGCAAAGCAGAAAGGGAUGAUCACCAGCUGAUUGAUGGUGUAUCAGGCAUAGCUGACCUGUGGGGAGUAUGGAAUCAAGCAUUCACAAACCGCAUCUAUGGUGACUGUGGCGCAGUUGACAUAACCGUAGCACGUAUUGAUGGGGCAGUCAUGGCGAAUGUAGAAGUUGCCGUGUCAGAAGUGCAGAGCAGUUUUGAGCUGUGCUUCAGUUGUUUUAUCGGUGGUUAUAACGAAGAAAUCCGGCUGUUCGAUGGUGCAAUUGGCGAGUCACGCCUCUUAAAGAGGUCUGUGGUUGCUGUAGCGGAUGGUUCCACUCUGGAUUUGAAGUUCAAGGUGGCCUCGGGGCCAUCCGGUUCAGCGGAGCACUGUUGUUCCUUCAAGGCGGACACACAUGGACUUGACACUCACCAGAUAAAGACUGAAUUCGGGUUGAUGUCAGUGAAGGUGACUUGGUCGACUCUGCUUUCCUCCCAGUAGGCUUAUUACAGGCCUUGAAUAAAGUUAAUCGAAAAGUUGUGUCUGAGGAAUGGGCCAAGACCUGGUCAACAGUCUAGAGUGAGUCGUGGACACUGUUGAACUGUUUCUGGUAUCUUUACAUGUUUCUAGUAUCUUUACCUGACAAUCCUAGCCAUUUGGCGUACACUGUUUCUUCUGUCUGGACUGUAAGGGUGCGUUUGGAUGCAGCCUAUUGGCUACACUGUUUCCCGUAUCCGCUUGGUGAACUUGUGCAUAAUCCGUUUGGAUGCACCUGGGCCACUGCUGCCUAGUCUAGCUCUAAUCCUAGUCUGAAUCCUAAUCCGUUCAGUUCGCGAGGAAAUUAAUCGGAUCUCCUUCCUGUCGGACGUACUGAUACUUUUUUUUCGUCUUUUAACUCACAGUUGCUUUACUGAAAAGGAAUUUGUGUUUAGUGCUUCUUUUAUUUUAUCUUUAUCUUUACCUAUUAAUAAACCAGCGAUUGCUUUUGGUUGUCCGUCAUCAUGGCAGUUUUGCAAAAACACCCCUGAGUUUACGUGAAAUCAACCCGCACUCCUUGUUUUAGUGGCACUUUGAAAAAGACGUUUCACUUUUUACAAAAAUAACCCUGUAAACCCGCCCGGGCCCGAACUGCACUGCCGCCCGCAGCUCCCUCCUGCUCUCGUGCCCGCAAGUCGUGUCGCCGGCGAUCCACACCUCCGCCCCGCCCCGCCGCCGGCAACCUUCACCGUCGGACCUCCGGCCACUCCGUUGCCUCGCCCCUCUGCCUUCUACUCCUUCCUCUCGAUCUCCUCUCACAUCUCUCCCUCUUUCUCCCUGAACAGGGACCUCCAUGAGGGCCAUGGCGCUGCCGGCCCUCAAUCUUGCUGGAUCCGGCCACCUCCACGCCAAAUCCACCGGAAGUGGAUCCACCCCGGUCAGAUCCGACCGGCCUCUUGCCGUACGACGCCUCAUCGAGGAGUACAACAGCUGCCCCAUGCCGGCCAAGAUCCUCCAGAUCCUCUCCACCCAACCGCCGUCAUUGCAGGAGGACUUUGACGAGUGGCUCACCAAAAAGCUUCCCCAAAUCCUACAAGAGGCUCAGGUUAGACGAGCCGCUGACAAAGACACACCUCUAUUCUGAAUUUUUACUUGCAAAGAUGGACCAUCAGCUACAGAAUAUGUUGGCUAAAUUCUCACAGGUUUGGAGCCGACCAAGGAAGUCACAGUUUAAGAGCUCGAGGAGGAGGGGCGUGUGGAGGUUUCCGCCGCCAGUGGCUGCACUGCUGGUCUUCGUCGCCUGCUCCUGUCAGAUCCAGCAUGACCUAUCCUAUCGGUUCUCCAUCGCUUCACUCUGCUUCAUGUGCAUAUGUGCGGAGAAGAUGAUGACCCCGCCCCUGUUCUUCGCCAGACACACUCUCCCUUAUGCGAUAAUAAAUCUCAAGAAAUGCCCUUUUCGUUUACAUGAACAUCAAACCUACUUUUUUGUUUGAUUUUGGUGCAUUCCUGCCUGAUAUGUGUGUUGGCAUGCUGCUGUGCGAUUGCUGGCUGUGUUGCUACUUGUGGCAACGGUUAUUUUGUUAAAGUAUGUGGGACGACAAUGCUUCUGUCUUUUGGUGGAAUCAUUUUCCUUUUAAUUUAAUUACCCGAGAAAAAAAUUAUAUAUUUUCUUACUUCCCUUUCUCUGUUGUUUUCAUGGCUGACUAUUUGAAGUUAUCUGUUCACUGAACCAGUUCUUGGCUUCUUGCCCGAGGGCAAGUUUUUGUAUGUUCAUCUAAUAAUGGAAAAGAUUUAGACCUUCGAUUUUGUAGGAACGAUUUUAUUGCUCGAGUAAGAUAUGUGUUUACCAAAGAACAUGAGAAGGGCAAGUUUUUAUACAUUGGAACUUUCAUUACCC
rnacentral:rRNA from 1 species